UACGGAGGGUGCAAGCGUUAUCCGGAUUCACUGGGUUUAAAGGGUGCGUAGGAGGGCAGGUAAGUCAGUGGUGAAAUCCCCGAGCUUAACUUGGGAACUGCCGUUGAUACUAUCUGUCUUGAAUACCGUGGAGGUGAGCGGAAUAUGUCAUGUAGCGAUGAAAUGCUUAGAUAUGACAUAGAACACCAAUUGCGAAGGCAGCUUGCUACACGAAUAUUGACUCUGAGGCACGAAAGCGUGGGGAUCAAACAGG
rnacentral:rRNA from 1 species